rnacentral:rRNA from 1 species
UGUGCCCUACGGGGCGCAGCAGUGGGGAAUAUUGCACAAUGGGGGGAACCCUGAUGCAGCGACGCCGCGUGGGUGAAGAAGUAUUUCGGUAUGUAAAGCCCUAUCGGCAGGGAAGAAAUUGGACGGUACCUGACUAAGAAGCCCCGGCUAACUACGUGCCAGCAGCCGCGGUAAUACGUAGGUGGCAAGCGUUAUCCGGAUUUAUUGGGUGUAAAGGGCGUGUAGGCGGGAGCGCAAGUCAGAUGUGAAAACUCA